rnacentral:rRNA from 1 species
UACGGGGGAGCAAGCGUUGUUCGGAUUUACUGGGCGUAAAGGGCGCGUAGGCGGUCAGCACAAGUCAGUUGUGAAAUCUCCGGGCUUAACUCGGAAAGGUCAACUGAUACUGUGCGACUAGAGUGCAGAAGGGGCAACUGGAAUUCUCGGUGUAGCGGUGAAAUGCGUAGAUAUCGAGAGGAACACCUGCGGCGAAGGCGGCUCACUGGCCCGGUACUGACGCUGAGGCGCGAAAGCGUGGGGAGCAAACAGG